rnacentral:rRNA from 1 species
AUGCACAAAGCAAAAUUAAUGAGUAGAGGAAGCCCCGAGGCGGAGCUAGACGUGGCUACCAUGUUUGUGCUGCAGGAACACACCACAUGUAGUACUCCAACAUCAUCUGUUCACCGCCCCUCCAUAGUUUUGUCCCUUCAGGAAGCCGGUGCUCUUGGUAGAAAGAAGAAGUCCCGUGAAGACAGUCACCAUGUGGCUGCUCAUGUGACAGGGCAACACCUCUACACAUCGCCAUUGAAUCGGGACAUGCAUGUCCUCCUGCUUCAGGAAGAAUGCCUGCCAUUGUCCGGAGGCAACCAUCACGCUGUCUUUGACGUUGUACAAACAGAUAGAGUCCGAGGACCAGAGCAUGUUGGAACAGUGCUGAAGGCUGUGUCGUGGAAGUCCACGGGUCCACACCACACCCUGUUGGUAGCGAUUUGUGUUUGA